CGGUCGAAAAAAAUACCGAGCAAUGAAGGGAGGCUCUAUUAGCAAAGGACACAACUUUGAGGAAAGCACAUUGAUAUGUGUUCGAACUAAGGAUGGUAAAAACAUACUACAUUGGCCUUCAAAGUCGCAAUAUUAUUCCGUAUCAUGAUCGACCAGCUAGUCGACUCUCUAUUAUCGAGCUCGUUAAUGAAUAUAAACAAAUCGAAUUCAAGCCAAGCUCGAGCCAAAAGUUUUUGUUAUCAACAAGACAUUGAAUGCCUUUCCAUCUAUACACUGGCACUGUUCUGCUCCAAAAAUUUAAUGCCAAAGCUUUUGCUUAC
rnacentral:lncRNA from 1 species